rnacentral:lncRNA from 1 species
AAUUUACUUGCUCAAUGCUAAUAAUGACCCUAUGAGUUGUGAUUAUAAUCCCCAUGUUACAGAUGAGGAAAUAAAGGCAUGACUCCAGGGGGUGCUCUAUACAAGGAAUACAAUAGGAAUUGUGGCCCUAGAAUUGUUCAGCGCAGUGGGACCGUAAAGACAUGAGGCAAACGUGCCUGAUUUAAGUAAAAGGUGGAGUCAGACCUUGAACUAUUACACUCAAUUGCCUCUAUUUUCCCCUCCUUUAAAGCCAGUUUUUACAGUGGGAUUGUUUUUAUGUAUUAUAUGUGUGAAACAAAUAACUACAUCCUGGUCUCACUUGGAUAUUUGUAAGGGCCUGUAUCCCCAUGUGGGUGAAUGUGAGCCAUCCUGCCUUCUGGGCUGGGGGUGGGAGCCGCCCCAGCAGACCACAGCAAUGGCACAGCAGGAUGUCAACACCAGAAGGACCCGUGGGCACAUUCCUGAGCUCAGGAAAAGACUCAGAAUGGAUGGAAGUUGUUUAUAAAUUCUCCUCUG